AGUUAAAUUGUGGGGAACCAUAACUGUUAUAAAAGAUGAGCAGGAAUGUAAUGCAUUUGCAAUGUGUUCUACAGUUUUGGCACUUGGAAGGUGGUCACAUUUCACAAUGAGACAAAGUUCUUUGAAGGGCGUUACCUAAAGCACAAUGAGAUAUUCACUGUAGGAAGAAGACUAUUCAAAUGGAAAUAUCCACUUGUACAUGUUCCUGUAGAUAGCGGAAUUGCAGCUGCAGCAUCCAGGGAAGUGCUUAAGCAUGGGGAAGAUCCUUCUCAAGGU